GAAACUACAGAUUCUGUCAUUAUCCGGAUGUAAGCUUACUGGUUCCAUCCCCACAAGCAUUUUCAACAUGUCAAGCGCUGAGGGUAGUCAUACUUGACGAAAACAUGUUUUCAGGUAAUCUACCAGCAGAUUUAGGCAGUGGGAUCUCCAGCCUAGAAACAUUGAUUUGUGCAAACAACAAUCUGAGUGGAUUUAUAUCUGCUACUAUCUCAAAUGCUUCAAGACUCGGUAUGAUUGAUCUUUCAAUCAACAACAGUUCACAGGUCCAAUU
rnacentral:misc_RNA from 1 species